AGCUCCAAUAGCGUAUAUUAAAGUUGUUGCAGUUAAAAAGCUCGUAGUUGGAUUUGGGACUGGAGUCGUCGGGUCGGCCGCGAGGUCUGUUACUGGACGGCUCCGUCAUUUCAUCUCUCGGAGACCCGUCGUGCACUUCGCUGUGCGCGGCGCGGGACUCGGGACGUUUACUUUGAAAAAAUUAGAGUGCUCAAAGCAGGCGUUUGCUUGAAUAAUACAGCAUGGAAUAAUAGAAUAGGACUUUAUCCAUUUUAUUGGUUAUUGGAUGAAGUAAUGAUUAACAGAAACAGUUGGGGGCAUCAGUACUUAAUAGUCAGAGGUGAAAUUCUUAGAUUUAUUAAAGACUAACUAAUGCGAAAGCAUUUGCCAAGGAUGUUUUCAUUAAUCAAGAACGAAAGUA
rnacentral:rRNA from 1 species